rnacentral:rRNA from 1 species
GUCUCCGUAGGUGAACCUGCGGAGGGAUCAUUACACAAAUAUGAAGGCGGGCUGGAACCUCUCGGGGUUACAGCCUUGCUGAAUUAUUCACCCUUGUCUUUUGCGUACUUCUUGUUUCCUUGGUGGGUUCGCCCACCACUAGGACAAACAUAAACCUUUUGUAAUUGCAACCAGCGUCAGUAACAAAUUAAUAAUUACAACUUUCAACAACGGAUCUCUUGGUUCUGGCAUCGAUGAAGAACGCAGCGAAAUGCGAUAAGUAGUGUGAAUUGCAGAAUUCAGUGAAUCAUCGAAUCUUUGAACGCACAUUGCGCCCUUUGGUAUUCCAAAGGGCAUGCCUGUUCGAGCGUCAUUUGUACCCUCAAGCUUUGCUUGGUGUUGGGCGUCUUGUCUCUAGCUUUGCUGGAGACUCGCCUUAAAGGAAUUGGCAGCCGGCCUACUGGUUUCGGAGCGCAGCACAAGUCGCACUCUCUAUCAGCAAAGGUCUAGCAUCCAUUAAGCCUUUUUUUCAACUUUUGACCUCGGAUCAGGUAGGGAUACCCGCUGAACUUAAG